AUAUCCAGCAUGCAUUGUGGUGAGUCAUCCAAAGCCAGUGCUUCAUUUGAAGAUUUCCUCUGAGAAUUUAGGAAAUUGGACCAGCAACAGAUUGGAAUCGUGAUGAGUGUAAGCGUAUCAUGAAGGUAGCAAGAUGGCAGUGUCUUCAUUAUCAGGUUUAUAUUUAUUUGUCGGGACACGUCUCCCUGUCGUAUCGUUUGGCAUACAGAAAUACUGCUGAUGGGAAUUUAAUUAAUGUAUUACUUAAUAAUAAUAAUAAUAAUAAUAAUGAAAAGAAAGACAGCAAGAAGACCCAACCAAGGAGAAAAAGCUCAGCACACAAACAUGGACAGGUAGAUAACUCGGUGACACGUGGCUGUUCAACUCGUUGCCAUGUUUAUCCCCUUUCUGUGCAUUAAAGAAAAUAUUUACAAACA